rnacentral:rRNA from 1 species
GACAGAGGGUGCAAACGUUGUUCGGAAUUACUGGGCGUAAAGGGCGUGUAGGCGGUACCAUAAGUCAGAUGUGAAAGCCCUAGGCUUAACCUAGGAGGUGCAUUUGAUACUGUGGAACUAGAGAUCGAGAGAGGAAAGUGGAAUUACGAGUGUAGAGGUGAAAUUCGUAGAUAUUCGUAAGAACACCAGUGGCGAAGGCGACUUUCUGGCUCGUAACUGACGCUCAGGCGCGACAGCGUGGGGAUCAAACAGG